rnacentral:rRNA from 1 species
UACAGAGGUCUCAAGCGUUGUUCGGAUUCAUUGGGCGUAAAGGGUGCGUAGGCGGCGAGGUUAGUCGGAUGUGAAAUCCCAGGGCUCAACCCUGGAACUGCAUUCGAUACUGCCUUGCUAGAGUACUGGAGAGGAGGCUGGAAUUUACGGUGUAGCAGUGAAAUGCGUAGAUAUCGUAAGGAAGACCAGUGGCGAAGGCGAGUCUCUGGACAGUUACUGACGCUGAGGCACGAAGGCCAGGGGAGCAAACGGG